rnacentral:rRNA from 1 species
CCUACGGUCGGCAGCAGUGGGGAAUAUUGCACAAUGGGGGAAACCCUGAUGCAGCGACGCCGCGUGAGUGAAGAAGUAUUUCGGUAUGUAAAGCUCUAUCAGCAGGAACGAGACAAGACGGUACCUGACUAAGAAGCCCCGGCUAACUACGUGCCAGCAGCCGCGGUAAUACGUAGGGGGCAAGGGUUAUCCGGAAUCACUGGGGGUAAAGGGAGCGUAAACGGCUGAGCAAGCCUGGAGUGAAAGGCGGGGGCCCAACCCCCGGACUGCUUUGGGAACUGUACGGCUGGAGUGCAGGAGAGGUAAGUGGAAUUCCUAGUGUAGCGGUGAAAUGCGUAGAUAUUAGGAGGAACACCAGUGGCGAAGGCGGCUUACUGGACUGUAACUGACGUUGAGGCUCGAAAGCGUGGGGAGCAAACAGGAUUAGAUACCCUGGUAGUC